ACACUCACCUGGCAGGGGAAAUACCAUGAUCAUGAAGGUGGUUUUCCCAGGGUGAGGCGAGGCUGAUCCAUUGCAUUCCGGGGCCUGUUGACCCCUGCGAUUUCCCCACAUGCGGGAAACUCGACUGCAUAAUUUGUGUUGGUGGUGGGUUGCGUGCAUGCUUUCCCCUG
ensembl:snRNA U1 U1 spliceosomal RNA